rnacentral:rRNA from 1 species
AAUUGUAAGUAAAUAAUAAUUACGAAAGCAAAAAAUUAUGGCGGUAUCUUAAGCUUUUCAGAGGAAUUUGCUCUGUAAUGGAUAAAACACCUAAAUCUUACUUAAAUUAGUUAGAAUUCAGUUUGUAUACCACUAUUAAAAUAAUAAUUUACUAUUAUUAUUAAUAUUCUUUAUUAAGAAAAAAGUUAAGUCAAGGUGCAGCAAAAAUUUAAGAAUGAAGUGAAUUACAUUUCUUAAAAGAAAAAAAAAUUGAAAAUAAAAUUUAGGAUUUGAUAGUAAAAUUAAAAUAAAAAGUUAAUUGAACUAAG